GUUUUGUUUUUUCUCUGAAGAAACCUCAGGCUAUGAGCAAACAAUGCUACAUGCUGGCCUUGCUGCAGAGGAGCUGGUCUCAGCUCCAGAUAGAAGAAAAUAAUUAUGGACCUUCUGGAAGAUUCUGGCCUUCUGAUUCCCAUGGAGCAUUUUUCCAAAGCUUUUCAUACAACCAAGCCUUCAUUAAGACCUACUUCAGUAGCUGCACUAACCCAAAGGAUACCCACUGAGC